UUCGAGUUAAAACACCAUUUAUUCUUCAUGUUGAAUACACCUAACUUGAAUCCUCUUCUACCCAUGCAUGGUCUUUUUCCAGAACUUGUAGCAUAUCAAAUGUUUUGUGUUUUUCUUGCUCAUCAACAUCAGCAGAUAGUGAUUGUAAUCGGCAGAUCUAAUACAUCAUGGUGAACAUACAUACACCACAUUGAAUUGAGAAAAGAAUUUAUGUUGAUGAAACAGAGAAAACAAUUGUUUUAUAAAUGACCCGUAAAGAGAACGAUUUCCCAUAAAUCAAGGGACAUAUAACACAUGUUAAAAUCGGACAGGAGGAAUGAACUGUAUCUCACAGCUAUGGUGUGUGACCAGUGUGGUGUGCAGUGUUGGUGCCUGAGAUCCAGGGAGCUGGUUUACAUCGCGCAUUUCAUUUGGAUGUGUCGAUUUCUCCCCAACAGCUCACAGCGAGCCCUGGAGAGAAUGUCAGCUUCUCCUGUCAUUUCGGCAUGAGAGAAGGCACACAUGACGGUGUUCAACAGAUAAAGAGGGAAACAGCCAACAAGAACCUUGAACAUGGAGAUAAUGUGUUUGGGCAAGAAAAACAAACUGGUGAUGACGUUGAUGAUGAAAUCUCAGAACAAAAACUGCAAAGGAAGAGAAAAAAGACAAGAAUAAAAAGGAGUUCUGCAGGGGAUAUCAUCAUUUUAUGGUCACACAAGACAAACGAUGGAAAUGAAACGAGAGUUUUGAGCUAUGACGAAGGUUGGAGCAACCACAGUGGCAUUUGGCGUUCGGGCCAGGUCCAUAAAGGCCAAAUUGCCAUCCAUUUUGUAGCAUCUGCAGAUAUGACAGGGGUGUUCAAAUGUCGUGUGCUCCGUGCUUCUUUGUCCGACAUGAAAGAAGGAUUCGCGGAGGCGAUGCUCAACAUUGAUAAAGAGAUGAGCUCCACUGAGAUGAGCUCCACUGAGAGAAGCACAAGUGAUAUACCAUUUACCAGCAUCAGAAACAUUUAUACAGUGCUUCCUACUCUUCAUUCCUCGGCCCCUUGGCAGUUGAAUUUGACAGUCAUUGUGAUCAGCAUGUUGGCAGCUAUUCUGGCAAUCCAUUGAAGUUUCUCAUUCAGGAAGCACCAUCAAGGAUUUCAUGACACUGAUACACUACAUGGCAAAAGUAUGUGGACACCCCUUCAAAUUAGUUGAUUUGGCUAUUUCAGCCACACCCAUUGCUAAAAGGUGUAUAAAAUCAAGCACACAGCCAUGCAAUCUCCAUGGACAAACAUUGGCAACAGAAUGGGCCAUACUGAAGAGCUCAGUGAUUUUCAACGAGGCACUGUCAUAGGAUGCCACCUUUCCAACAAGUUAGUUCAUCAAAUUUCUGCCCUGCUCGAGCUGCCUCGGUCAACUGUUAGUGCUGAUGUUGUGAAGUGGAUAUUUUAAGAAAUAAAAAAAAAGCUGGCUGAUAUCAAACCUUUGUCCUGUAUCCCCUUUUGCUUGCUGUUCUAUCUCUGUAAAUCUGUGAUAAAGCAUUUAAGACAACCUAUACCAAUGUAGUCGUUGAGGGAACUCCAGAUCGGGGAACCACAACCAAACACUAUUCUUUUCAAAGUGGGACUCCAACUGUAUUCCAGUUAUGAAAUGCCAAACCAAGCCAAAAUGGUGGACAACCCAGAAUGGAAACAGCAUUAUUUUUGGCCGUAUCUCUCAAUGGUGAAGAAUAACUUUAAAAUUUUUAUAGUAUCUGGAUCUUCAACAAAAUCGAAUCAAUUGCUCCUCUGUCACACACCCAUCCUGUCCACCAAGUUUCAUCCAAAUCCGUCGAUUUCUUGGCCACUGAUAAGUCAAUGGUCGUAUUUGCAGCAAGUGGAGAGAAAAUACUGCAGAGCAGAGAAAAUAUUAAUUGUGAAGUUUGAGGCUAAGAUUACCAUUGGAAAAUUAGAUGAACAUUCAAAUAGGCCCAUCAUGAGGGUACACUGUGCUCCAGCCUUGUGGAUUAUUUUGCCCCACGAAAAGCAUCGACAUAAAUUGUCAUGACAACAACUGGAAGAACCACAACAAUAUGUUCAAGGGCAAUUCCGUAAACUGUCGUACAGGACAUUUAGUGAUAUUUUCGAUCCCAAAGUAUAAAAACUUGACAUGAAAUCUGGCAUCCAGCAGUAAUAAUAAAAAGUCUGUGAGUUUACUGACCUUUGAAAAUUGUAUUGACAUUUGUUGGACAAGUGGUCUGCCUCAUCAAAACAUGAACUGAAGUUAUCAUUUCAUCGAUAAUAAAUUAGAGGGGUAAGUUUUUGACACCUGUCUUACAGGACAGUUUUCACCUUAUCAAUAUUUGUCCGCUUUGAGGCGAUAAAAUCAGUUAUUUUUGUUUAAAACAUGUAAUAAACUUGAUAUAGAAUGUAACAUGGUG
ensembl:lincRNA